AGAUUGAACGCUGGCGGCAUGCCUUACACAUGCAAGUCGAACGGUAACGGGCCUUCGGGUGCCGACGAGUGGCGAACGGGUGAGUAAUGUAUCGGAACGUACCAUUGAGUGGGGGAUAACGUAGCGAAAGUUACGCUAAUACCGCAUAUUCUCUCCGGAGGAAAGCAGGGGAUCGCAAGACCUUGCGCUCAUUGAGCGGCCGAUAUCAGAUUAGCUUGUUGGUGAGGUAAAAGCUCACCAAGGCGACGAUCUGUAGCGGGUCUGAGAGGAUGAUCCGCCACACUGGAACUGAGACACGGUCCAGACUCCUACGGGAGCAGCAGUGGGAAUUUUGGACAAUGGGGCAACCCUGAUCCAAGCCAUGCCGCGUGAGUGAAGAAGGCCUCGGUUGUAAGCUCUUCAGACCGGAAGAAACGACAUAGGUAAGUACCCUGUCGUGGAUGACGGUACCGGAAUAAGAAGACACCGGACUAACUACGUGACCGAGACGA
rnacentral:rRNA from 1 species